rnacentral:rRNA from 1 species
UUCUUGACGACCAUAGAGCAUUGGAACCACCUGAUCCCAUCCCGAACUCAGCAGUGAAACGAUGCAUCGCCGAUGGCAGUGUGGGGUUUCCCCAUGUGAGAGUAGGUCAUUGUCAAGAUU